AUCUGAACAUAGGUUGUUCAAAAGAUGUUCAGUUUGCCGUCGCUGGUAAGUGGUCUCAGCAUCCGAAUAUUGCUUAAGGUUACGGUUAGACCCCCUUCAACUGGUGUUAGUUUCCUACCUCCUGCCACGAGCAGAGAACAAGCCGAGUGACUACCUCUUGGCAGGAGGUAGGAAACUAACACCAGUUGAAGGGGGUCUAACCGUAACAUUAAGCAAUAUUCGGAUGCUGAGACCACUUACCAGUGACCGCAAACUGAACAUCUUUUGAACAACCUAUGUUCAGAUCACUGGCAAAUUAACAUAUAACUAUCCGAACAUUUGAGAGAUCUAACUAUAACACGUUGCAGACAGACACCAUAUAGCAAAUUAAGAGGUCACAUUUGGAGUACUCCUGCUAUUUAGGUAUAUGCGUGAGCUCCGCAU